rnacentral:rRNA from 1 species
GACGAACGCUGGCGGCGUGCUUAACACAUGCAAGUCGAACGGAAAGGCCUGUCCUUCCUUGUGUUGGACGGGUACUCGAGUGGCGAACGGGUGAGUAACACGUGAGUGAUCUGCCCCCAACUUGGGUAUAAGCCUGGGAAACUGGGUCUAAUUCCCGAUAGGACUGCAGGGUGGUGCCUGUGGUGGAAAACGAUUUUCUAGUGGUUGGGGAUGAGCUCGCGGCCUACCAGCUUGUUGGUGGGGUAAUGGCCUACCAAGGCGGCGACGGGUAGCCGGCCUGAGAGGGUGGACGGCGACAUUGGGACUGAGAUACGGCCCAGACUCCUACGGGAGGCAGCAGUGGGGAAUAUUGCACAAUGGGCGGAAGCCUGAUGCAGCGACGCCGCGUGGGGGAUGACGGCCUUCGGGUUGUAAACUCCUUUCGACCGCGAGGAAGCCGCCUGGUUGGAAGGGUGGUGACGGUAGUGGUAGAAGAAGCACCGGCUAACUACGUG